rnacentral:tRNA from 1 species
GGGCAGUUGGUGUAGUGGCUAGCAUAUUCGCCUUCCAAGCGGGUGACAUGGGUUCGAUUCCCGUACUGCUCA